UACGGAGGGUGCAAGCGUUGCUCGGAAUUAUUGGGCGUAAAGGGUAGGUAGGUGGUCUUAUUUGUCUGGGGUGAAAGCCUUGAGCUUAACUCAAGAAGUGCCCCAGAAACGGUGAGACUAGAGUCUUGGAGAGGGUCGUGGAAUUCCCGGUGUAGUGGUGAAAUGCGUAGAUAUCGUAAGGAAGACCAGUGGCGAAGGCGGGUCUCUGGACAGUUCCUGACGCUGAGGCACGAAGGUCAGGGGAGCAAACGGG
rnacentral:rRNA from 1 species